AUCCUUACUUCUGUGAAAUUGUGGACUGCAACUUCUGCCGGGGCCAGUUAAAGGGCCAGGAGAUGGAGAGGGUUGCGUGAAUGCCAUUCAAGAAAAGGGCAACAGAGGCUAAGGGGUUAAACUCCCCAGAAAACCAAUUUAUGCAAAGGGCUGGAUCCUGACCGGCAUUCUGCACUAAAGAUCUGAAUUACAAAUUUAGAGAAUUUGCUGCUCGACAACGAAUGCAGGAAGGACCUCACUGGCUGCUGGGAACAACUGCCCUUUUGAAUGAAUUCUUUUAUGGUUACCAGUCAAAAAGUCACCGUCAGCUGGAACUGGAAGGGAGGGGCAUUUCUUAUCUGGGCAAAAAGCCCCUGUACCCAGCGAGGUGAAACUUGCAAAUGAUACUGUCACCUUCCUCAAUGGACUGCAGCUCAGGAGCUCACCAAAGGUUGCAGCAGACAACCCCCACGGUGUUUGGAGACAAAGGAAUAGCAGCUGCCUGGUUUCCUUGAAUCACCCCGUGCUCUGACGAUGGCAGUGAUGGGCCUCCCACCAAUGGCUUCCCCAAGUGCUGUUUUCCUGCUUCAUGCCAAGUUAAGCAUUCUGAUACUAAGCGGCACGAGAUAGUUCUCAACUGGGUGAGGCACAGGUGUGAGUAAUCUCGAGGUAUGGUCAGGAGGUUUGAAAAAACUAACCCAGCUGCAAGGAAAAGACCUCUGGUCUUUAUUGGAAACACGAAUUUGACCUGUCCAAGCUGGGAGCUAAUAGGCCCCAGCAGCUCAGGAUCCCCUCCUCACUUACGCUUGGGUUUUGAGUGAUACCAUAUUUUUCUGAACACAUUUUCCAAAUGCCUAUUUGCCAAAGCCGUGGUGUAAUUUGCCUAAGCAGCAAACUUGUCCUUAGAGUCGAGGUCCAUCCACAUCAGGAGAGUAUAUUCAAUGUUUAUCUCCGAUCAAUGUGUGAUGAAUUGCAUAUGAGAUAGAUUUGUGUGAGCCAAUGUGUGUGUGUGGAUCUGUGUUAGUUACAUGUGUUUAUUUGCAUGUAUGUAAAUAUGACUGUGUGAGUGCAUGGAUCUAUUCCUGCAUGAUAUAUAUUUAUAUAUAUGAAUAUGUGCAUAUAUAUGCAAAUAUGGGUAUAAAUAUGUAUCUGAACAUAUAGGUGUGUAUCUGUAGUGGACACUGUCAAUGCACUCAUCCUCCAGUUACUUAGGCAUCCCAGCUUCUCAGCUCAAUGGGGGCCGCUUGCCCAUCCCCCCACCUCCCAGGGCAGCCCAGAAUUCACCUACCAGGGUUCAAAGGCUGGCUCCCUUGACUCAAGGUCAAACUAUCUGGGUGGUGCAAUUCAUGCUCCAGUUGAAACCAACCCUUGCCCAACUCUUUUCUUGCCCUCUUCUUUUUCUCUUACUCCCUUUCCCUCGGAGCCCACUCUCAGUAUAUCCUAUGCGUCCAAAUCCCCAUCUCAGGCUCUGCUCCAAGCAACCUGGCCUAAGACAGCACUAUUCUAUACAUGCAUGUGUGUGUACAUGCAAACAUACAACUGCACACAUUUGUGUGUGUGUGUGCCCAUAUACAAGGAAAUCCGGGAAGAUCUGGGAGAGAAUGAUCUUCCAAAGAAGAUAAUGGAGAAAGAGUAUGGAUUUUAUAAUGUAGAAGUUAGAGUCAUCUCAGAUAUAGAGUGGGACUGCUUUGAAGUUGAAAAUUAAAAGAUACUUUAGAAGUAAAUGUAUUUUUUAUUAAAUCAGAAAAAGAAA